rnacentral:rRNA from 1 species
GAUGAACGCUGGCGGCGUGCCUAAUACAUGCAAGUCGAGCGAACAGAUGAUGAGCUUGCUCCUCUGACGUUAGCGGCGGACGGGUGAGUAACACGUGGAUAACCUACCUAUAAGACUGGGAUAACUUCGGGAAACCGGAGCUGAUACCGGAUAAUAUAUUGAACCGCAUGGUUCAAUAGUGAAAGACGGUUUUGCUGUCACUUAUAGAUGGAUCCGCGCCGCAUUAGCUAGUUGGUAAGGUAACGGCUUACCAAGGCAACGAUGCGUAGCCGACCUGAGAGGGUGAUCGGCCACACUGGAACUGAGACACGGUCCAGACUCCUACGGGAGGCAGCAGUAGGGAAUCUUCCGCAAUGGGCGAAAGCCUGACGGAGCAACGCCGCGUGAGUGAUGAAGGUCUUCGGAUCGUAAAACUCUGUUAUUAGGGAAGAACAAAUGUGUAAGUAACUAUGCACGUCUUGACGGUACCUAAUCAGAAAGCCACGGCUAACUACGUG